rnacentral:lncRNA from 1 species
UGAAAGAAUACAAGGUUCUAUGCAUUAUUCCAAGCCAUAUGGGGGGAGUGAGGGCAUCAUUUGACCUCCUUAAGGGAGUUUACAGCCAAGGGACCAAUCCUUGGGGUGUUUACGGUCGUAAUCUCCUAAGGUCAUGGUUUCCUUGGUGUUUAAGGUUCCUACUUCGAUGGUGGUACUUAGUUCAUGAUUAAGGUCUUAAAUGAAAGAAUACAAGGUUCUAUGCAUUAUUCCAAGCCAUAUGGGGGGAGUGAGGGCAUCAUUUGACCUCCUUAAGGGAGUUUACAGCCAAGGGACCAAUCCUUGGGGUGUUUACGGUCGUAAUCUCCUAAGGUCAUGGUUUCCUUGGUGUUUAAGGUUCCUACUUCGAUGGUGGUUGAUUCUAGGCAUUACCUCAAGCCAUAGGAGGUGUUUAAGGGGCAAUUUAACACCUGAAAUGGUGUUCACGGCCUAUGAAACAUGUGAUCGACCUGUAUCCUGUUACCGACUCUAGUAAAAAGAUGAUGUAAGACGCCGUAAGAAAUGAAAUUUGGCACUCGUAGACUUGCAAGUCCCAUUAUAGCGAGCAGCAAGGUGUAGGAUAGUCAAUCCAGUAUAGAUCUAUACGCAAACUCAUACGCUCCCCAAUUAAGGAGAUUUGGGAUACAAAAACGGUCAUGGCAGGAAGUGCCAUGACCCGCUUAAUGGUUCACAUAACUGCAUAAAUGUACACGUAAUGAAUGUGCUAACUGAAAAGUGUACUCUUUCUUUGUUUAGCCUGUAUGUACUGA